ACAUGCAAGUCGAACGGUAGCACAGAGGAGCCUGCUCCUUGGGUGACGAGUGGCGGACGGGUGAGUAAUGUCUGGGAAACUGCCCGAUGGAGGGGGAUAACUACUGGAAACGGUAGCUAAUACCGCAUAACGUCGCAAGACCAAAGAGGGGGACCUUCGGGCCUCUUGCCAUCGGAUGUGCCCAGAUGGGAUUAGCUAGUAGGUGGGGUAACGGCUCACCUAGGCGACGAUCCCUAGCUGGUCUGAGAGGAUGACCAGCCACACUGGAACUGAGACACGGUCCAGACUCCUACGGGAGGCAGCAGUGGGGAAUAUUGCACAAUGGGCGCAAGCCUGAUGCAGCCAUGCCGCGUGUAUGAAAAGAAGGCCUUCGGGUUGUAAAGUACUUUCAGCGAGGAGGAAGGCGUGUGGUUAAUAACCGCAGCGAUUGACGUUACUCGCAGAAGAAGCACCGGCUAACUCCGUGCCAGCAGCCGC
rnacentral:rRNA from 1 species